GACUUUGAAACACCGGUUCCCGUAUGAUCACCGAAGUUAAGCAACGUUCAGCCUCGUCAGUAUCUAGAUGGGUGACCGAUUGGUAAUACCAGAUA